GGAAACGGAUAGAGCUAGCGUAUCUGGCCUGCAUUCAGCCGUUUGGCCUGUGCCACCAUGGCCGCUGCCUCCAGAUUGGGGUAGUGCUGUGGCAGGUGCGGGUCCGAUGGUGCAUUUGCAGGUGGAGUGCGCCGAGACGUUCGGUGCAGCUGCAUGAGCUCAGCCUUGAGGCCAGCCGCAAGGACCUGGUACCCGGGCUGGGGGAGUGUUGUUUGUGCUGGAUGCUAAGGCAUGGCUUGCGGGCUUGUGUGAGUGCCGGGCUGGCAAUUGGUGGCGGUCGCAUGCGACACGUGCCGGUGGCUUGUUCGGUCUUGCGCCGGCUCUCAUGCCCAUCCUCGGUGUAAAAGCUGGUCAUCUAUCCGACCCGUCUUGAAACACGGACCAAGGAGUUUAUCGUGUGCGCGAGUCAUUGGGCGUUGAAAACCCAAAGGCGAAAUGAAAGUGAAUGUAUCCGCAAGGAGCUGAUGUGCGAUCCUGUGUGCCUCGGUGCGCAGGCGCAGCAUGGCCAUAUCCCGUCUGCUUGCAGUGGGGUGUAGGCAGAGCGUACGCGGUGAGACCCGAAAGAUGGUGAACUAUUCCUGAGCAGGAUGAAGCCAGAGGAAA
rnacentral:rRNA from 1 species